rnacentral:pre_miRNA from 1 species
GUGCACCCUAGAGGAGUGUACAUGAGAACACUGGUGCAUUUUGAUCUUUUUCAAUUUCAAUUUCUAGACCCAAAAUGUACUUGUGUUCUCAGGUCACCCCUUUGGGAUCACC